UACAGAGGUCCCGAGCGUUGGUUCGGAGUUCACUGGGCGUAAAGGGUGCGUAGGUGGUUGAGGUAAGUCGGAUGUGAAAUCUCCGAGCUCAAACUCGGAAAUGGCAUUGGAAACUACCUUGCUCGGAGGGUUGGAGGGGGGACGUGGAAUGCUUGGUGUAGCAGUGAAAUGCGUAGAUAUCAAGACGGAACACCAAGUGGCGAAGGCGAGGUCCCUGGACAAUUCCUGACACUGAGGCACGAAAGCUAGGGGAGCAAACAGG
rnacentral:rRNA from 1 species